AAAAAUCUCAGUCGUAUUUAUAUGCCCCUACUGAAGCGACCACAAAAUUAAAGAAGAAUAACAACAAUCAUAAAGAACACACAGUGACAUGAAAUUGACAAUACGGGCUCAACAACACCUAAUCAACCAAGAUGACAAUAAAUGUUUUAAGUCCAUUAUGAUGUAUUUUACACUGAAGAAGGCGGAUGCGCCGAAACGUUUGUACGAAUAAAUUAUUUCACGUUUUUCAACUAUAACCUAGACACCCAACAAAUAAA